rnacentral:rRNA from 1 species
CAUAGCGACUAUCGUGGCAUAUCAAUAAGCGGAGGAAAAGAAACUAACAAGGAUUCCCCUAGUAACGGCGAGUGAAGCGGGAAGAGCUCAAAUUUGAAAUCUUCAAGGUUCUACCUUGACGAAUUGUAGUUUAUAGAAGUGUUUUCUGUUAGUAGAGUGGCAAAAGAUUCUUUGGAAUAGGACAUCAUAGAGGGUGAGAAUCCCGUAUUUGGUCAUUCCUCCUAGCUUUGUGAUACACUUUCAACGAGUCGGAUUGUUUGGGAAUGCAGUCCAAAAUGGGUGGUAAAUUUCAUCUAAAGCUAAAUAUUGGCGAGAGACCGAUAGCGAACAAGUACCGUGAGGGAAAGAUGAAAAGAACUUUGAAAAGAGAGUUAAACAGUACGUGAGAUUGUCAAAAGGGAAGCGUUUGACACCAGUGUUGUUUUUCCGAAAAUCAAUUACGAAUGUUUUGUCUUUGAGGAGUUAUGACUUCAUCGGCUUGCUUCUUUCUUUACGAAACUUUCUUAAUGCACUUUUCGGUUAACAAGUCAACAUCAAUUUCUUUUGUUGUAGAAGGGUAUGAGGAAGGUGGCUUUCUUUUCGGAGAAAGUGUUUAUAGCCUUGUGCCUCUGCAAUCGGAGAGAUAGAGGUCUGCAGCGUAGAUCCUUCGGGGUUAGAUACAUUUGUGCUAAGUUAUAGCUUUUCAUAGACAACUUGUUGACUAUGUUUAGUCUUGUAGCUUACUCGCUUACUGCUAUUUUACCUACGCUUAGGAUGUUGAUAUGCAUGACUGAUAU